AAGUAAUUAGGUGCCCUUCGGGGAGAAUAGGGAAUGAAGUGAAAAACUUCAGCGGUCCCACCACUGUAAUGGGUAGUUUCAUAGAGAAAGCCACUGGACUUUUGUUUGGGAAGGCCUAUGAAAUGAUGAACCACAGCCAGGAGACCUGCCUAUUUACUUU
rnacentral:ncRNA from 1 species